rnacentral:pre_miRNA from 1 species
AGGAGGAAUUGGUGCUGGUCUUUCAUUUUGGAUUUGACUCCAGCCCCACAGCCUCAGC